GUCCAGCCACCCGGCUUCCACCCCCCCCCCCUCCCCUCCCGGAGGUUCAAGUUUCUGCGCCCGGAGGACGCGGCCUCGGCCAAUCCCCGGGCUACAGGGCGCUUUUAAAAUGCAGUAAUCUCUACACCCCGCGUGGGGCUCGAACUCACAACCGUGAGAUCAAGAGUCGCAUGCUCCACUGACCGAGCCAGCCAGGCGCCCACCCCAUCUGCGCAUUCUUAUCAACUCGUGCCAGUUCGGGAACGUACAGGCUGGCUCCUGACCCUGGGAUACCCCUGUGCCUUCUCUGGCCGUGGCAGCAGCAGGAGUGGGAACCAUCUCCCUUGUCUCCUAUGCACCCAUCCCGGGAUCUGUGGAGAGAAGGCAGGUGGCCUGGAGCUUAUUCACGGGACAGGCGGUCCCCAGAACUACCUCCCACCACCCACCAUCAUGUGCGAAAACACUGCGUCCCAUUCUUUCUCUGGGAGCUUAAAUCAGGAACUACACAGAAGAGGUCAAGUUCAGAAUCCCUGCUUGAACCCUGACCUUUUGCCCCCCAA
rnacentral:lncRNA from 1 species